rnacentral:lncRNA from 1 species
AUCAUUAUUAUCAUUCAAAAACAAAUAAAUUUUACAAGUGAAUAGAACUCAACAGACAAAAAAGAUUACAAAUGAAAAUAUGGAAUGACAUAACGAUCACCAGUGUUGAGGAGGCGCUCUCAGGCUCAAUUGACUGUUUCAAGGGACGCUUUUAUAAUCUCAGAACUCACUCGGACAAGGGGUUUAUGUUCAUCAACAGGUUUCCUCCUUGAAGGAUUAAGUACUUCUUGUCAAUCAACUGUUAUAAUUUAGAUUUGAUAGCGCUGCAGUCCUUGGUCAAGUACCCAACUGACCUAACAUGAUAUUCUCAUUGCACAUUAGGAUCAUAUCAAGGUGGGAAUGGUUGUAGUGGAGGCCUCAUAGAUUUUGGAACCACCAGUAAGCUUUGGAUCAAAUAUGGAAGAAGUUGUCUGUAUGUCAUAGGAAUUGGGUCCAGAUAAGCAUUCCUUUGUUCCAUAUUAUUCUGAGGUUUACGCUGACUCUAAUAUUCUCGGCCUUGAGCUUGCUGAUUUUAUGGAGUUUGAGCCUAAGGAUGACCAUUCUUAAGGAUGAUCUAGCACGACAUCUAUGUAAAGAAAAGCAACUUAUGAUCAAGAAGUUCUUGAACUUUGGUCUUGAAGGAAAAGCAGACUUAUGUAGAGUGCCCCACGUAUCCGUCAUGGUACUCACAUGCGGCAUUAGGAUUAUGCUUGGGAUGAUAGGGAAACCUGGAAGGCUCGAUCUCCUUGGGAACAAUUUCCCUAACAUGAACCAGAAUAGGAAGUAAAUGGGUAUAAGGCAUCAGAAUUGGAUCAAUGCGGGGACGUCUCCUCCCUUGAUCGUUGUUUCCUUGGUUGUUUUGCUUCUGCUUCUGUUUCUAAUUUCCCUGAGUGGGCUUCUAAUUCGGUAGGGGAUAGACUGGCAGAUUUCCUGUAGUUGCAUUCUGGAUUUUAUCCACCUUCAAUCUGUUCUCAGUUCAUUCACCCAUCAUAACUUGAUCUGAGAAGUCCAUUAUCAUAUUGUCCAGUAAUAAUUUCAAGAUCAUGUCAACCUUGCCUUAAGUGUGACCCAAGCUUUCCUUGCACAUUAUGUUCUCAUGCUUAACUUGUUUCAUGAUUCUUUGGCGAUUGGCAUCGGGGAAUCGUCUUCUUCUGGAUGAGGAAGGGAAAAGGUGAGCUUUUUAUAGUUUGUAUGCAUGAAAUUUGAGUGCAUGAGUGUAUGCAUAUAUUUUUCAUGUGGAUGGAAUGUAAAUAAGCAUGCAACAUACAUUGAUUUAAAGGUUUGAUGAUGCAAUAAUUUAGGUUCAAAAGUUUGGUAUAUACACGAUAAUGCAAUAAUGGUAGGUUAUAAUAUAGGUUAAAGGUUCAACGUGUUAUGAAUAAUUUGUAAAUGAUUCCCAAUGCAGGUCCAAAGGUUCGACGUAUACAUGAUGAUCAAGGUAUAUAGGGUCUUGGUUUCCUGCAAAACCCCAAUAUCCCUUCACAAGAAAGUACUAGUCUUCAAAGAAGGAGGUUCCUAAAAAGGUCCCUAGAGUCAUGGACCCAUUUUGAGAUACCACUGCCUAGGACGAAUGACUCGUCAAACAGUGAUGCUCCUAAAAGGAUCUACUCUAUGAGUGACAUCUCAUGUUAACCCUGAUCGAGGCAUAAAAACAAGUAGGUCAACUCAACUCUUGCCAUAUGUUAUCCUAUGUGUAUACUUAAGAUUUGUUAUAGAGAUUUUCUCUCAUGUAACGUCAUAAAUUCUAACCUACAAUAGAGAAUAUAGCAGAUAUCCAACUCAUAAUGAAUAUUUAAAUCAAUAAAGAAUGAGAUAAGUAACAUAAAGAUAAAGCAAGUAAAAUAGUAAAUAUAAACACCCAAACAAACAAGGAAACAAACAAAACUAGGCUCGACUUACUUAGGGAAUCCCUAGUAGAGUCGCUAGUUGUCACGCCGCGAAAAAUACCUGAGCGCAUCACACGCUCGAAGAUACAACAAAGUCUCCACCCAACUUUAUUUAUUCCAAAAGGAAAUGGAAAAUAUCGAUAAAACCCAAGGGGAAGAGAAACCGGGUAAGGAAGUUAGUUAUACAAGAGGAAAGUAUUAGCACCCCUCACAUCCGUUUACUCAACGGGAACCAUUUUGAUUGUUCUUUGUGCGAAUGGGUGUUAUUAUCUAAAAGUUACUUACAAAAAGGGAAAAUAAGUUUAUUUAUUAAUGUGAUAUCUAAGAAUUCGAACCCUCGUGCCUAUGUAUUCUCAUAGUGCAAUGAGAAAAUCAGAGCUUCGUAGUUCGUGAUAGAAAAUACGGAUGUGUUGUUUGAUUUUAGGGAACAAUUAUAAUCAUAUCCUAGAAGUGCAUAGACAUUAGCUGAUUCUGAUCCUUAUUCGGAUGCUCUAAGCUUUUAGUCUGUCUGCUAAGGAACAAAUAAUAAUAGUUCUUUUGUAAAAAUAAGAGUUAUUUUUGAAAAGAUUUAUGUAAUAAAAGAAAAGAAAAUGUUUCUUGAAUUGAAAAAAAGAAAGAGUUUUCUUGAAGUUUAAAAGAGUUGUGAAAUGAGAAAAGUCUUGUGUGUUGAAUGUGAUUAAAGUAUUUUUUGAACCAAAGUUUGUGUUGUUUGAACCCAUAAACUAGGUGUGUUUGAACCAAAGAGUGUGUGACGUUAACCAAUAGAUGGUGUGUCCAAUGCAAGGUUGUAGGAUUUUGCCUAGAUUCAGGGAGAUCAAGACCUACAAAAAAAGGGUUUCUAGAGCAUGAAGCUCCACAUGGCAGUGCAUGAGGGUUUCCAGAGCAUGAAGCUCCAUAGCGAAAUGCAUGAGAGUUGCCCCCUCUAUAGGGAAAUGCACGAGAGUUUCAGAGCAUGAGGCUCCAUAGAGCAAAAUAAAAAAAAAGGGUUUUCCAGAGCAUGUGGCUCUACAUGAAAAUUCAUGUGGUUUUCUAGAGAAUGGUGCUCCACAUGGAAAAAUAAAAGAAAUGGGUUUGCUAGAUCAUGGGGCUCCACAGGACAAUACAUGAGGUGUGCUAGAGCAUGGGGCUCUACAGGUCAAUGCAUGUAUGUUAUUGGUUCAGAGAUGGGUGUUUAACCAUGAGGUGAUUAACCUAAAGAAUGUAUGAAUGUCAAAGAGAAUUGUGUUUGGUCAAAAGGGAAGGGUAUUAUUGAUGUUGAUUGUUGAAGUGUUAAGGUGUUGAAGUGUUGAAGUGUGGAAAAAGGGAAAGAAGACUUGACAUUCAUUCAAUUUUAAUUGAACUAAAGUCUAUGAACGGAGGUGAAUACUUUGAAUAACUAGGGCCUACGCCCAAUACAAAAUGAUACUCAGAACAAGGAUACGAACAAUCCCUCUCAUUCUUUUUUGUUACUUAAGGCUCGUGGCACAUAAUUCUCAUCAUAAAUAAUAAGUGUUGAAGAUUGAUCUUUUUGUUGUGCUUGAAUGAUGAAGAAAUGAUCCAGUCCUGAAGGCCAUAGUCUUCAUAGACUUGCAUGAUUUCUUGAACUUAUGUUUGACUUGGGUGUUCUAGUGCAGUGCCAAUGUAAAGGACUAAUCCUAUCAAGUGAUCAAGAAGCUUGUGAUCACCUGACUGGAUAGGGGAAGUAGACAAAUAUGGAAUGAUUAAUUGAUUAAAAUUUACUUUGAUCAAUCAGUCACUCAGGGACAUGAUCAAGAUAUGGAUUACAAGCACAUGGAUUUAUGAUCAAGGACUAUAAUCCUAAAGAAACUAAAAUGUUAUCAUGUAUAUUAAUUUCUAAAAAUUAACUAAAACUAAUGAUUAUUUAUUAUUUUCAAAGUACUUUUCUUUUUAAGAAAAAUAAAAUGUGUAUAAGAAAGAGUAUAAAUAUGUGUACUGACAAAAAAAUGUAAAAUCUAAAGUAUUAAAAUAGAUAAAGUAAUAGAGAUAAACUAAAAAAACUAUAAAAAAGAAGAAGCAAACAAGCAUGGUGCAUGGGUCUGUAGGGGCGUAUGCCAAGAAAAAGGGUGCAGGGCCCAACAUCAGAAGGCCCACGGUGGCAUUAGUUGAGUCAGACCAGAGAGGGGGGUGUCAAAGAAAUUCCAGGGGUACAUGGAAGUAAGGCCUUUGAGCCUGGUCAGAGGCCCACACGCUGGGAGAAAAGGGGAAUGAAUCAAAACCAAUCCCUCAUUUCAAUUUCACUACGAACCAAACCUUAACUCAUACCUCUCUCUCUCUCUCUCUCUCUCUCUCUCUUAGGCCCACACGCUGGGAGAAAAGGGGAAUGAAUCAAAACCAAUCCCUCAUUUCAAUUUCACUACGAACCAAACCUUAACUCAUACCUCUCUCUCUCUCUCUCUCUCUCUCUCUCUCUCUCUCUCUCUUUUCGUACCGAAAAUCGCUCCACCACACCGGAGGCAGUGGAGUAGCGUAGAAAUGGCCAUAGCCAUUAUCAUCAAAACCACCUUAUUCUUAUAUCCCUACUUAUUAUCUUGAUUUCAUCUAAUUAUCAAAGAUACUCUUUAUCCCUCAUGAUUUUAUCAAGAACCCUAAAAAUCAAAACAAUAAUUAACUGGUGUUAGGGAGGUAUCAGAGCCUAAAACUUUAGGACUUUGAUUCCCCACAUUUGAAACUACAUUAUGGUAACCAACUUGGGGCCAAAGAAGAUGGAUUAGAGGGAGCUACCAACCUACAAGGUCGAUGUGUACCCUGGAAUAUGUUGAAGGUUGAAGAAGACAAUAAGAACAUAGAUGUGUAUCCAGGUAAAUGAUCCAUUCAUUGACCUCUUUUGAUAGUAACUUCUUCUUCUUCUUCAGAUGGGCUGUAGGAGCUUGAAUUUGUGAUAUUGUUGUUGUUGUUGUUGUUGCGCGGGGAGUAUAGAGUUUAGUAGAGGUUGAGCUUAAUUGUAGAAGCUUCAAGGUGAAGCUUUCUCAAUGAUGGUGGAACUUGUUCUUUUGGUGAGUGGUGAGGAAGGAGAUUGGAUGCAGGGAGUGAUAAGAGUGAUAAAUUAUGCAGAGUGUGAUCCCCUCAGAUUGAAGUGUGAAUGAGAUUAUAUAAAUUAGUUAGAUUGUAACAAACUCGGGAAAUUAGGGUAGAAUUUGUUAGAGGUUAGGGCAGGAUUAAAGUUAGUUGAGUUCAAAGAGAAAGUUAGUUGGUGAUUUCACUAUGUUAAUGUUGUUGUUAGUUUAAUUAGGUUUUGAAUUUUUUUAGUUAAUGAAUGAAGAUGUUAGAAUGAGUUAGUUAGGUUGUUAGUUGAUAUGUUAGUGAAAGUUAGUUAACUA